rnacentral:rRNA from 1 species
AAAAGUAAGCAAGGGCGCAUGGCGGAUGCCUUGGCUCUCGGAGGCGAUGAAGGACGUGAUAAGCUGCGAUAAGCCGCGGGUAGGUGCAAAUGACCUUUGAUCCGCGGAUUUCCGAAUGGGACAACCCAAUAUCUUGAAGAGGUAUUAUCCUACUAAGUAGGAGGCAAACGCAGGGAACUGAAACAUCUUAGUACCUGUAGGAAGAGAAAAUAAAUAAUGAUUCCCCUAGUAGUGGCGAGCGAACGGGGAACAGCCCAAACCAUAUGUGUUACGGCAUGUAUGGGGUUGUAGGACCACGUCGUGGGACGACAGUUAGUGAGUAGAAUGAUCUGGAAAGUUCAGUCAUAGACGGUGAUAACCCGGUAUACGAAGCUAACUUAACCCUAGUGGUAUCCUGAGUAGCGCGGGACACGAGAAAUCUUGCGUGAAUCUGCCGGGACCAUCCGGUAAGGCUAAAUACUCCCGAGAGACCGAUAGCGAACCAGUACUGUGAAGGAAAGGUGAAAAGCACUUCGAACAGAAGAGUGAAAUAGUCCCUGAAACCAUGCGCCUACAAGCGGUCGGAGCAGCUUUAUGCUGUGACGGCGUGCCUUUUGCAUAAUGAACCUACGAGUUACUUUUUCCGGCAAGGUUAAGGAUCUUGAGAUCCGCAGCCGAAGCGAAAGCGAGUCUGAACAGGGCGGAUAGUCGGAAGGAGUAGACGCGAAACCAAGUGAUCUACCCUUGGCCAGGUUGAAGGACAGGUAACACUGUCUGGAGGACCGAACCGAUAAGCGUUGAAAAGCUUCCGGAUGAGCUGAGGGUGGGGGUGAAAGGCUAAUCAAACUUGGAGAUAGCUCGUACUCCCCGAAAUGCAUUUAGGUGCAGCCUUGAUUUAUACUAAUAUGAGGUAGAGCGACUGAUAAGAUGCGAGGGCUUCGCCGCCUAUCAAGUCUUGACAAACUCCGAAUGCGUAUUAGUUCUAUAUCAGGAGUGAGGGCAUGGGUGCUAAGGUCCAUGUCCUAAAGGAGAACAAUCCGGACCAUCAGCUAAGGUCCCGAAAUAACCACUAAGUUGAUCUAACGAAGUCAGAUUGCUAAGACAGCUAGGAUGUUGGCUUGGAAGCAGCCAUUCAUUUAAAGAGUGCGUAACAGCU